rnacentral:misc_RNA from 1 species
AACGCACAUUGCGCCCAUUAGUAUUCUAGUGGGCAUGCCUGUUCGAGCGUCAUUUCAACCCUCAAGCCCUAGUUGCUUGGUGUUGGGAGCCUAUCUUCGGAUAACUCCUCAAAAGCAUUGGCGGAGUCGCGGUGACCCCAAGCGUAGUAAUUUCUUCUCGCUUCAGGUGUUCACGGCUGACGUCUUGCCGUUAAACCCCCUAUUUUCUAGUGGUUGACCUCGGAUCAGGUAGGAAUACCCGCUGAACUUAA